rnacentral:misc_RNA from 1 species
UUGAUUUUAGUUAUUUGUGAACUUACUACAAACAAAAAUAAUUUAUAGUCAAAAAAAAAAUUAAAUCA